CUUUGUAUAUUCGGUAUCUGUCUGAGCAUGGCUGUUUCUCUUUUGUUGAAGUGGCAGUUGGCUGUGGAGCCUCUUGAUUAAUUGUAGAUAAGGGAUGAGAUUCUGAAGGAACACUGACACUAGACUUAACCAGGCUAGAAGUACUUGAUAUUCGCUUUCUUCUCUGUGAAACAGUAGAGGAAGAUCUACUGGAUUCUUCAACAUCAUUGUCACCACCAGUCUUUU
rnacentral:lncRNA from 1 species